AACGAACGCUGGCGGCGUGCCUAACACAUGCAAGUCGAACGCGAAAGGGGGCAACCCCCGGUAGCGUGGCAGACGGGUGUGUAACACGUGGGUAACCUACCCGGAGGUGGGGGAUAACCCUUCGAAAGGAGGGCUAAUACCGCAUGACAUCGCAGGGUCCUCGGACCUUGCGAUCAAAGCUGGCCUCUGUUUACAAGCUGGCGCCACCGGAUGGGCCCGCGCCCCAUUAGCUAGUUGGUGAGGUAACGGCUCACCAAGGCGACGAUGGGUAGCCGGCCUGAGAGGGCGAUCGGCCACACUGGAACUGCGACACGGUCCAGACUCCUACGGGAGGCAGCAGUGAGGAAUAUUGCGCAAUGGGCGAAAGCCUGACGCAGCGACGCCGCGUGGAGGAUGAAGGUCUUCGGAUUGUAAACUCCUGUCGAGUGGGACGAAUGCCGUGAGGGUGAAUAAGCCUCGCGGUUGACGGUACCGCUGGAGGAAGCCCCGGCUAACUCCGUGCCAGCAGCCGCCGUAAGAC
rnacentral:rRNA from 1 species